rnacentral:tRNA from 1 species
GCCCGGGUGGCGGAAUUUGGCAUACGCGCUAGCUUGAGGUGCUAGUGGGAAUUUCCCUUGCAGGUUCGAAUCCUGUCCCGGGCA